UACGAAGGGUGCAAACGUUGCUCGGAAUUAUUGGGCGUAAAGCGCACGUAGGCGGCUUGGCAAGUCGGAUGUGAAAUCCCUCGGCUCAACCACGGAAGUGCACCCGAAACUGCCCAGCUUGAGUCUCGGAGAGGAAGGCGGAAUGCUUGGUGUAGAGGUGAAAUUCGUAGAUAUCAAGCGGAACACCGGUGGCGAAGGCGGCCUUCUGGACGAUGACUGACGCUGAGACGCGAAAGCGUGGGGAGCAAACAGG
rnacentral:rRNA from 1 species